rnacentral:misc_RNA from 1 species
ACGAGUUUUAAUUGUUAGGUUAGAGUUGAGCUGGUUAAUCUAAUUAAUAUGUGCUUACUCUAAUCGAAACAAGUCCACUCAUUACCUUAACACUUGUGAACUUAUUCAUUACAAACAUUAUUAUUUGUUAUUGGAACGUUUGACUUAUUAAAAAGUUAAUA